AGUGAACGCUGGCGGUAGGCCUAACACAUGCAAGUCGAACGGCAGCACAGUAAGAGCUUGCUCUUACGGGUGGCGAGUGGCGGACGGGUGAGGAAUACAUCGGAAUCUACUUUUUCGUGGGGGAUAACGUAGGGAAACUUACGCUAAUACCGCAUACGACCUACGGGUGAAAGUAGGGGAUCUUCGGACCUUGCGCGAUUGAAUGAGCCGAUGUCGGAUUAGCUAGUUGGCGGGGUAAAGGCCCACCAAGGCGACGAACCGUAGCUGGUCUGAGAGGAUGAUAAGCCACACUGGAACUGAGACACGGUCCAGACUACUACGGGAGGCAGCAGUGGGGAAUAUUGGACAGUGGGCGCAAGCCUGAUACAGCCAUACCGAGUGGGUGAAGACGGCCUUCGGGUUGUAAAGCCCUUUUGUUGGGAAAGAAAAGCAGCAGGUUAAUACCCCGCUGUUCUGACGGUACCCAAAGAAUAAGCACCGGCUAACUUCGUG
rnacentral:rRNA from 1 species